GACGAACGCUGGCGGCGUGCUUAACACAUGCAAGUCGAACGGAAAGGCCCUGCUUUUGUGGGGUGCUCGAGUGGCGAACGGGUGAGUAACACGUGAGUAACCUGCCCUUGACUUUGGGAUAACUUCAGGAAACUGGGGCUAAUACCGGAUAGGAGCUCCUGCUGCAUGGUGGGGGUUGGAAAGUUUCGGCGGUUGGGGCUGGACUCGCGGCUUAUCAGCUUGUUGGUGGGGUAGUGGCUUACCAAGGCUUUGACGGGUAGCCGGCCUGAGCGGGUGACCGGCCACAUAGGGGCUGAGGUACAGCGCAGUCUCCUACGGGAGGCAGUGGGGGGGAAUAUUGCACAAUGGGCCGAAGCCUGACGCAGCAACGCCGCGUGCGGGAUGACGGCCUUCGGGUUGUAGUCCGCUUCCGCAUGUGACGAAGCGUGAGAGACGGUAAUGGGUAAAGAAGCACCGGCUAACUACGUG
rnacentral:rRNA from 1 species